AGUUUAGUGGUGAUUCCCCUGUGACUCACGCGUGCUUUUGUUAAUCCCUUCACCAGCAAAUACUUGUUAAAUACUUAAAUCUUGCAAAUGGAAAGAAUUCCGCAGUAAAGUGUAAGGAGUCAUCCAAAACUCUGAGUCUUGGACGAGGCUGGUUCAAAAUAGUUCUACGUCGAAACUUAAUCUAUUAGAUUCAGUCAUAGCAAACUUACUGCUUUGAUAUUUGAAUCAAAUAUUUAAAUGCGGGAGUUUUCAUUUGGCGAUUGGUGAUACCGAUACGUGGACAGGGAAGAAAUCUCUUGAGAUAAAUAAACUUCACUGGGAAAUGGGCCCCUUGCUAAGUUCCCUUGUAGAAGUGACGCCUCCCUAGGUUGCAAACCUUUUCUCCUCUGCGGUUUCAGCUCCAGGAUAAACCAGUUCUGCGGCAUGCUUCCUACCUUUCCAGAGACGAUCCGAAUCAGCUUACCAGGGCUUUACAACCCCAUUGAUUCUUUCAUUGCUCAAAAGCCUCUUUCUUUUGAAAGCCAUUGUGUGAAUCAUAAAAUUAACAUCUAAAAAGACUUAGCAGCCAUCGAACCUGGGAAAGCUUGGAGAGUUUGGCCUUGCUAAGGGCACUUGGACUUGGAGAGGGCCUUUGCAGGUGGAAAAACCGUGGCUGCGGUGAGGCGAGGUCCCCAGGAUGGGGGCAGAGAGGGACCGUCCCUCCUUCCCCUCCCCCCCAGUUCUCAGGGACCGCUAAUCAGAGAGGCCCCUCCCACCCUCUGUGUUUCCUCUUUUCUCCCGCUGAGUUCUAAGCAGACACCAGCAAAUGUUUUUUUAAAAGAACGAGGGAAGCCUAUUUUAGUUACUUUCACUUCUCUAAAUUUUUGAUCAUUUCGGUCAGGUGUGAAAUAGUUUUGAAUUUACAAUUUCAAAUCUAUUUCACACGUUCUAUAAAAUGUUAGACUGUAGACAUUCUCUUUUUAGUGAAAGAGAAAAGACAGACUUUAGGAUUCAUGUUCAAAGUAUUUGAGGGCUCAGUUUAGCAUUCAAGAACGCUGCUGUGAGGUUUUCUACUUUUUUUGUGUUUGCCCUAGAUUUUUUUUUUUUUUUUUACCUCUUUUGUCUCCUAUAUAUUUCCAGCUCUUUGGACUUCUUUGAGGAGAAGGCUGUGAGGAUUGAAGAAAGCGAAAAUCUCUUCUCCAAUAAUUUAUCAUUAUCACGACUUCUGAUUAUUGAGUUUCUGGCAUCUUUUAACUCCUCGGGAAAAAAUCUGAGCCUAUGUGUACCCUUAGAAAUUCAGGUAAAUUCCUGCAGUUAGCGGCACAUCAGCGAACCUCAGUGACGGUCACAGGACAUCGAUCGUCCGUGCAUGGGGUUGCCACACAAGGCUGGCCAGAUUACACUUUCAAAUUCAUUUCCAGCACAUCUGCAGGCAGGAAAGGGACUUUGGAUGUGUGGUCAGGUUUGUUUUAGCCAUACAGUUGCUGCUCAGGAGAAGGGGGCGGACGUGAGACAGGACGGUCCAGGCCAGGAGGAGCCUGCUGCCUGUGAUGGGCAGGCGACUUGGACCGGGCUCCAGGUGGCUUGCCAUUCUUUUCUACUUUGGCCUGACGAGGAAACCCGUGAAGGGGCUUGUGAACGCUGGUCUUUAUUCCACUGCUCUGGGAAAAGCGUCAGCUCUCCUGCCUACACUUCAUCACCCAAUUCAGCACCCUACAGUUUGACUUCUGUCCUCAAGCUCCACUGAAGCACCCCGUCCACUCGUCCUCAUGCAGAUCCCAAGGCCCCCACCCCCAGCCAGGGCUCAGCAGCUCUGCGGCUGGUCUCACUCCCUUCGAGCUCCUGCGCUGUGGGACCACACUGCAGGCUUUUCCUUCUCUCUCUCUGGCUUCCAGUUUCUGGUCUUUUUGUCCUUUCCUUGGGGGUUCACAUUCCCAGACUGCAGGCUGCAUGAUCACCUGACUGGAGCGCCCAGCCCUCCAUUCACUGCCAGUGGAGCCUGGGGCAAGUCAUAGGACUCGCUUACUCUUCAGGUCCCUCCCGGCGAAAUGGGAUGAUACAGCACCCACCUCAUUUGGGAGAAGAUUAAGUGAGAUAAUGCUAACCUCAGGCCUUACACAGAGUCUCUCCCGAGGUGUUACCUCUUAGCAGUCCAAGCGCCGGCCUGGCCGCUGAAUACAGAGGUGAUGGACUAAUGUCCCAACUCCCUCUCGCAGACCGCAGAGGUGACCCUAGGACUCCAGGCUGGGACAUGGCAGCGAUGUGUCUCACCGAGAUGCCAUCUGGGGCUCUGGCCUGACCCGUGGGUCUACGCUGUCUCCUGAAGUUACUCCAACUCCUGAUCCUGGCAUCAGACCUCGUCCAUCCAUCCCUCGAGUGAAUUUGUCCAGUCACUCAUUGGAUCACCUCUGAGUGAGUUCCCACCUGGGGCCGGGUGCUGGGCUGGCUUCUAGGGGUAGACAGGGGAAUGAGACAGCCCAUGGCCCUCAGUCAGCUGCUGCGGGAGAUUCAGGAGGUAGCACUGCAUUUAUGAAGCGGGGAAGAAAGUGUGAUGACAUAUUCUGUAUUUGGAUUUAAAGACAGAAAUCGAACCCACGUUGAGAAACGAGUUCAAAGAGAAUGUCCAUGCAGAAUUAUUUC